rnacentral:ncRNA from 2 species
AAUCUCGUUCAUUUCCGAGCCUGUGAUCCUACCGGGAAUUCCCCACGGCCACAGGACGUUAAGGUCGGUCGGGAAACGGUCCGGGCUCCCGUGCUUGGAAAGGAGAUCUGUUGCGCCAGCC